rnacentral:rRNA from 1 species
GACGAACGCUGGCGGCGUGCCUAACACAUGCAAGUCGAACGGAGCUUGUUUGAAUUGAGACUUCGGUCAAUUUUCAUUUGAGCUUAGUGGCAGACGGGUGAGUAACGCGUGAGUAACCUGCCGUUCAGAGGGGGACAACAGUUGGAAACGACUGCUAAUACCGCAUAAUGUAUCUCUGGGACAUCCCUAAGAUACCAAAGGAGCAAUCCGCUGAAUGAUGGACUCGCGUCUGAUUAGAUAGUUGGUGGGGUAACGGCCUACCAAGUCGACGAUCAGUAGCCGGACUGAGAGGUUGAACGGCCACAUUGGGACUGAGACACGGCCCAG